rnacentral:rRNA from 1 species
AUACGGAGGAUCCGAGCGUUAUCCGGAUUUAUUGGGUUUAAAGGGUGCGCAGGCGGGAGAUUAAGUCGGCGGUGAAAAUUUGCAGCUCAACUGUAAAAGUGCCUUCGAAACUGGGUUCCUUGAGUGUAGAUGAAGGAGGCGGAAUUUGUGGUGUAGCGGUGAAAUGCAUAGACAUCACGAGGAACUCCGAUUGCGCAGGCAGCUUACUAAACUACUACUGACGCUCAGGCACGAAGGCGUGGGGAUCAAACAGGAUUAGACACCCUGGUAGUCCACGCAGUAAACGAUGAUUACUAGCUGUUUGCGAUACAAUGUAAGCGGCUGAGCGAAAGCGUUAAGUAAUCCACCUGGGGAGUACGUUCGCAAGAGUGAAACUCAAAGGAAUUGACGGGG